CCUGCCCCGCCUUAACUGAUGACAUUCCACCAUUGUGAUUUGUUCCUGCCCCACCUUAGCUGAGUGAUUAACCCUGUGAAUUUCCUUCUCCUGGCUCAGAAGCUCCCCGACUGAGCACCUUGUGACCCCCGCCCCUGCCCACCAGAGAACAACCCCCUUUGACUGUAAUUUUCCAUUACCUUCCCAAAUCCUAUAAAACGGCCCCACCCCUAUCUCCCUUCGCUGACUCUCUUUUCGGACUCAGCCCGCCUGCACCCAGGUGAAAUAGACAGCCAUGUUGCUCACACAAAGCCUGUUUGCUGGUCUCUUCACACUGACUCGAGUGAAAUUUGGUGCCGUGACUAGGAUCGGGGGACCUCCCUUGGGAGAUCAAUCCCCCGUCCUCCUACACUUUGCUCUGUGAGAAAGAUCCACCUACAACCUCAGGUCCUCAGACCAACCAGCCCAAGAAACAUCUCACCAAUUUCAAAUCCGGUAAGCGGCCUCUUUUUACUCUUUUCUCCAGCUUCCCUCACUGUCCCUCAACCUCUUUCUCCUUUCAAUCUUGGUGCCACACUUCAAUCUCUCCCUUCUCUUAAUUUCAAUUCCUUUCAUUUUCUGGUAGAGACAAAGGAGACACGUUUUAUCCGUGGACCCAAAACUCCGGCGCCAGUCACGGACUGGGAAGGCAGCCUUCCCUUGGUGUUAAAUCACUGCAGGGACGCCUCUCUGAUUAUUCACCCAUGUUUCAAAGGUGUCAGACCACGCAGGGACGCCUGCCUUGGUCCUUCACCCUUAGUGGCAAGUCCUGCUUUUCUGGGGAAGGGGCAAGUACCCCAACCCCUUCUCUCUGUGUCUCUACCCCUUCUCUGCUUUUCUGGGGGAGGGGCAAGUACCCCUCAACCCCUUCUCCUUCACCCUUAGUGACAAGUCCUGCUUUUCUAGGAGGCAAGAACCCCCAAUCCCUUAUUUCCACACCCUGACCUCUUAUCUCUGUGCCCCAAUCCCUUAUUUCCACACCCCAACCUCUUAUCUCUGUGCCCCAAUCCCUUAUUUCCGUGCCCCAACCCCCCUUCCCACUUUUCUGGAGGAUAAGAACCCCCGAACCCCUUCCCUCCGUGUCUCUAUGCUCUCUUUUCUCUGGGUUUGCCUCCUUCACUAUGGGCAACCUUCCACCUACCAUUCCUCCUUCUUCUCCUUUAGCCUAUAUUCUUAAGAAUUUAAAACCUCUUCAACUCUCACCUGACCUAAAAUCUAAGCAUCUUAUUUUCUUCUGCAAUGCCACUUGACCCCAAUACAAACUUGACAGUAGUUCCAAAUAGCCAGAAAAUGGCACUUCCAAUUUUUCCAUCCUACAAGAUCUAAAUAAUUCUUUUCGUAAAAUGGGCAAAUGGUCUGAGGUGCCUGACAUCCAGGCAUUCUUUUACACAAUAGUCCCUUCCUAGUCUCUGUGCCCAGUGCAACUUCUCCCAAAUCUUCCUUCUUUCCCUCCUGCCUGUCCCCUCAGUCCCAACCCCAAGCAUCGCUGAGUCUUUCUAAUCUUCCUUUUCUACAGACCCAUCUGACCUCUCCCCUCCUUGCCAGGCCAAGCUACGUCCCAAUUCUUCCUCAGCCUCCGCUCCUCCACCCUGCAAUCUUUUUAUCACCUCCCCUCCUCACACCUGGUCCUGCUUACAGUUUCAUUCUGUGACUAGCCCUCCCCCACCUGCCCAGCAAUUUACUCUUAAAAAAGUGGCUGGAGCCAAAGGCAUAGUCAAGGUUAAUGCUCCUUUUUCUUUAUGCCAAAUCAGAAGUGUUUAGGCUCUUUUUCAUCAAAUAUAAAAACCCAGCCCAGUUCAUGGCUCGUUUGGCAGCAACCCUGAGACGCUUCACAGCCCUAGACCCUAAAAGGUCAAAAGGCCAUCUUAUUCUCAAUAUACAUUUUAUUACCCAAUCUGCUCCUAACAUUAAAUAAAACCCCAAAAAUUGGAAUCUGGUCCUCAAACCCCACAACAGGACUUAAUUAACCUCACCUUCAAGGUGUACAAUAAUAAAAAAAAGUUGCAAUUCCUUGCCUCCACUGUGAGACAAAGCCCAGCCACAUCUCCAGCACACAAGAACUUCCAAACCCCUGAACUGCAGCAGUCAGGCAUUCCUCCAGAACCUCCUCCCCCAGGAGCUUGCUACAAGUGCCAGAAAUCUGACCACCAGGCCAAGGACUGCCGGCAGCCCAGGAUUCCUCCUAAGCCACGUCCCAUCUGUGUGGGACCCCACUGCAAAUCGGACUGUUCAACUCACCUGGCAGCCACUCCCAGAGCCCCUGGAACUCUGGCCCAAGGCUCUCUGACUGACUCCUUCCCAGAUCUUCUCGGCUUAGCGGCUGAAGACUGACACUGCCCGAUUGCCUCGGAAGCCCCCUAGACCAUCAUGGACGCCGAGCUUCAGUGAUAGAUCACAACAAGAGAUCAUGAAGAGGGCAUGGCCGCCAUGUCAUUCUGGAGAGAGACAGAGUAAAACAAAGAAGGCAAUAACCAGACACGGGACUGAGGCCAUCCAUGACCAGCCAGCCCUAGCCAACACACAACACACAAGCUGAUCACAGAUGCAUGAGUAAGCCUGAGACCAGCCAAGACCAGCCUAGAAUAGAACUGCUCAGCAGCAAUAAAAACUAAAUAAAUUGUUACCUUAAGCUACUUUUAGAGCUAUUUGGAAGUGUAUUUUUGUGCAGCUAACAUUUACUAGCAGAUAAAAUGGUGAUUGUUUAUCUCUGUUUUAUUGAUGUUUUAAGGAAAUUGUUUCUAUUAAAAGGAAAUAUCUGGUCUUUGUCACGUUAAAUCAGGUUUAGCCUGAAGUUGUCUCCUUAAAUUUGCGGCACAACUCCCACCCUGCAAUACUUCAAAUUGUUUCACCUUUUUUGACAGAACCAAGGUAUAUCUUAAAUGUACUUGAUUGAUGUCUCAUGUCUCCCUAAAAUGUAUAAAACCAAACUGUGCUCUGACUACCUUGGGUACAUGUUCUGAGGGUCUCCUGAAGGCUGUGUCACAGGCCAUGGUCUUUCAUAUUUGGCUUAAAACAAAUCUCUUCAAAUAUUUUAUGUAGUUUGACUCUUUUCCUCAAUAGAACUCAUCAUUUAACCAGUUAAGUAUUUUGAGUUAGUUUGGGAUUAAACACGAGAGUUUUGACAGGGAGCUGAAACAAUAGUAGUUUCAUCAAAAGUUGAUUCUUGGUGCAUGUAAUUUUCUAUUACAGUGAACACAGAUAAUAAUGAUGCAUAUGUCUUUACCUAGAUUAGAGAAAGGAAGAGAAAAAAUAAAAAUUUUGGAAAUGAGAUAAAAAGAUAUUGAUCUCACUGAUGUUUCUGAAUCUAAGACUGAACUCAAUUAUUAGUUGUAUUUACUGCUUAUUAGAUUUACUAAGAAAGUUCUUUAAGGUACUUACAGCCCUAAAAUUAUUUGCAAUAUUCAAUAGCAAGGGACUUAAAUACAGUCCUGAUUACUCCAUCACAAAAUGCCAAAAACAAUUAGGAUCUUAAAGGAACUACCCAAAUAGGUUUAAGAUAUCACUCAGGCCAUAAAAAUGUUUUUAAAAUUCACAUCACAAAAUAGCCAAAUGACAUAUCAGAAACAAAAGCAAAAAAGUCAUCCUAAUUCAAGGCAAUUACUUUAGCAAUUCAAAAUAAAAUGUUAAAAGUGACCAAAAAACAAAUGCAAAAUAUUUUAAUGACUUUAAAUGGCUGUAUAAUUUCCUCAUCACUUCACUUGGCAGAGUUAAGAUGGCAUUUAACCUAAGUUCACAUCAUUAAAAAAAACACUGCACCAUGAUGCUUUUCUUAAUAUGCAUUCUCAAAUUAGCAUACAGAGAAAAAUGAAACUAUAGUAGAGACGUAAAUUUAAUCCCUAUUUAGGUCACUAGGCAUUUAUUAGCCCCACCACAGGUUAAUACACUUGCAUUUGCAUCUGUUUCUAAAUGCUAAUUAUCUGACCUCAGAACACUCACUUAUGGGCUUCAUUUAUUGAAAAACAAAUCCCUAUGAUUUGAUCGUAGAGUAACUUUUAAUGUCUAACUUUACGUAGUAUAUUACAGUUUUCAAAACAUUUUUAUAAAAAGUAUUUUGUUUAUUUACAGCAACUAUAUAUCAUAGAUAUUAAUGUGUAUAUUUUGCAUUUAAGCAAGUUGGAGUUCGUAAGGUUGAAUUACUUGAAAUGUACAAAUAGAUAGUAGUGAAUAUUUAAAGUACAUUUUUAAAAAUAUGACCCAGAAAAAUAGGUGGCAUUUAAGAAAUAUAAGCAUGGUAUCUAUCUUACAUGUAUAUUAGGAGUGGACAGUUUUCUAAGAUUAGAAGCAAACAGUUGUCAAGCAAGGGUUCUAAUUUUUGUAAGUCUUGUGGGAAAGAAAGAUAAUAGAGGGUUUCAUUGCAAAGAUAUAAAACUACUCUAGAUAAUUUAAGCAAAAACUAAUCUAAUAAAUUGGGUUUUCCAAAUUAUUGAAACACCUUGAGAACUAGUGCCUGGGUAGGCCUGGAGAAAUGACUCCAGGAACAGCAUUACAGAACUCACCUGCCCAGUGGUAACAGUGCCCAGAUUGCUCUUCUCCAUUAUCCAGCCAGAGUUCCAGAUCAGCCUGAAUACUUCACCUCUGGGAAGACUUUGCAGAACCUCCAGAUUUAUGCCACCUCUAUAACCUGUGUAAUAUUAUUACAAUGCAUAUUAUGUUCUAUUUCACUUACAGUCAGCCCUCCUUAUCUGUGGGUUCCACAAACAUGGAUUCAACCCACAGUAAAAUGAAAAUAUUUGGGGAAAAAAUUAAUGUUUGAGUCUGUAUUGAACACGUAGACUUUUUCUUGUCACUGUUCCCUAAACAAUACAGUAUAACAACUAUUUACAUAGUAUUUACAUUAUAUUGGGCAUUAUAAGUAAUUAAAGAUGAUUUAAGUAUAUGGAAAGAUGUAUAUAGGUUAUAUGCAAGUACUGUGCCAUUUUAUAUAAAGCACUUGAACAUCACAGAUUUUGGUAUCAAUGAGGGGUGCUGAAACCAAUUGCCCAUGGAUACCAAGAGACAGCUAUAUUUGUUUCAAUGUGUACCUCUCCUUCUAAACUCAGUUCUUAAGCAUAUAGUAUCUUUAUAGCUAUACACCUAGUGUCUAUCAGACCCUAAACUAUGGUAGGCCCUCAAUACAUUUUAUUGUUAUAGGUAGAUAGAUAGGCAUGAGUAGGGCAGGAGAGGGCUCUCCCUCCACCCACUAGAAAUGUCAAGUGAUGUUUUAAAAAUUGUCACACUGCCUCUCAGAAAAUGAUAAUUCAGCAACCGGGGAGAGACAAUCUUCUGAUGGUCCACACCUAUUAACAUUAAAGUGUUAUUAAAGGCAGACCCCAGAAAGAAGAAACUUACUGGGCAUGCACAUUAAGAGAUAAAAACGGCAAAAUAUUAUCUUCCACGUACCCACAACUGGAAAAAAGGAAGAAAGCUUCAGGUGGGCAUAUGUACUCUUCCUAAACACACUGCGCAUGCUCACUUCCCAACUGUAGAGAGGGCUCUGCACAUACGGGAAGAAUCUCGGGAAAGAGGUGAACCUAUAAAAGGCCAAGAAUCAUGGUUGAACGGGACAUUUGACCUUCUCUCUUAAACCUUCAUGUGCCUGCUUGGGUCUCUUCCAACUGCACCUUCCUUUCUUUCCUGUUCUAAGGCCUUUUUAAAUAAACUUCCACUCAUGCUCUG
rnacentral:lncRNA from 10 species